CAGUCGGAGUUGCGGCUGUGCCGAGUGAGCAUAGACCGUGGACUCCCCGUGUUGUGAGCGCCCCUAGUGGCCGCGCCGUUGGAACCGCAGGAGGGAGUGCAGAAUCCAUGUUCACACUGACAUGUACUGGAAUUGACUACACUGUUUAAAAAAAGGCUUACGCUUCUGCGAGCCUACGAGGAGGGUUUCGGAGCGAGGCUUCUUCGGUGGUGUUGUGUUGUGUUUGAACCACUUUUUAUUUUAUAUUUUUGCACGAAUCCCAAAGGACUUAUUUGUGACCUUCUCACAAAUAUUUAUCCAAGUGGAGGAGACGUCCGCGAAGAUUGGUGAGGGUGCCGCUUGAGACCCACCUCAAGGUGCUCCAAGACGCAUCCCAAGGAACAGAGGAACCGCGAGGAAGCGCACGCUUACUCCCCCGUGGACGGGAUCUGCGAUCGCGGAGGUUUUCACGUGGAACCCCAGUUGAGCUGGCUUCCUAAACUAAGGGGAAGAAGGGGUGGGGGGUUGGACUUGAGUAGGUCCUUCUGUUAGACACUUUCUAAGAUCGCGAAUGAGUGAUAGGGUCUGAGGAGCGAUCUGUGGAUAUGUCUUCCUGCCCGAGCUCGGGGUAACCCCGCUCUAGGAUGGAUCCUCUUAUUCCUCGGACAUUGAAACUGGCUUUAGUCAGUUACUAGGAGCUAUUCCCAACUUUGUGACACAUAAGGAAUAUAGUUGUUUUUUUUAUUUCGGACAUUUCGCAGUGAGACGAGGGAUUUGCGCGCCAGCUGUGGAUGUUUAAUGUGCUAGUAUGGGUCCGCUAGCACUCAUCCUCGUUGGCGGAUUACUGUAUUUUCAAGUUGAUGGUAUGGACUGGGCUGUUGUCUCUGGAAUCGAAUACCGCCAACAGGGGAACAGUAGGACACACACCCUUGGCCCCCUGGUGCUAUUCUGAGGACCCCUGCAUUCUUGCGAGGGAUCCAGGGGUCUGGCCGGCGGUGACAUUGCAUUCAUGCAGCCAGCCAGGAAGGCUGCCUCCCCCCUGGGAGCUGGUGAAGGAUGGCCUGACGUGGGCCAGCCUGAGAGGACACAAAGGGAGAGAGGGAGGGAGGAGGGA
ensembl:lncRNA